rnacentral:miRNA from 1 species
AUAUUGAUUGAUAUAUGAU